CCUACGGGUGGCAGCAGUGAGGAAUAUUGGUCAAUGGGCGGAAGCCUGAACCAGCCAAGUAGCGUGCGGGAUGAAGGCCCUACGGGUUGUAAACUGCUUUUGUACGGGGAUAAAACGCUCCACUUGUGGAGGUCUGCAGGUACCGUGCGAAUAAGGGCCGGCUAAUUCCGUGCCAGCAGCCGCGGUAAUACGGAAGGCCCGAGGGUUAUCCGGAUUUAUUGGGUUUAAAGGGAGCGUAGGCGGGCGUUAAAGCCAGCGGUAAAAUCCCGCGGCUCAACCGGGCCCCGCCGUGGCAACUGGGCGGCUUGAGUGCACAGAAGGCAGGCGGAAUUCGUGGUGUAGCGGUGAAAUGCAUAGAUAUCACGAGGAACCCCGAUUGCGAAGGCAGCAUGCGGGGGUGCGACUGACGCUGAGGCUCGAAGGUGCGGGUAUCAAACAGGAUUAGAUACCCCAGUAGUC
rnacentral:rRNA from 1 species